GAUCCUGGCUCAGGAUGAACGCUGGCGGCGUGCUUAACACAUGCAAGUCGAACGGACUUUACAUGAAGCCUAGCGAUUGUAAAGUUAGUGGCGGACGGGUGAGUAACGCGUGAAUAACCUGCCCUGUACCGGGGGACAACAGUUGGAAACGGCUGCUAAUACCGCAUAAGCGCACGGUUCCGCAUGGAACAGUGUGAAAAACUCCGGUGGUACAGGAUGGAUUCGCGUCUGAUUAGCCAGUUGGUGGGGUAACGG
rnacentral:rRNA from 1 species